AGCGUAGACGGAAUGGCAAGUCUGAUGUGAAAGGCCGGGGCUCAACCCCGGGACUGCAUUGGAAACUGUCAAUCUAGAGUACCGGAGGGGUAAGUGGAAUUCCUAGUGUAGCGGUGAAAUGCGUAGAUAUUAGGAGGAACACCAGUGGCGAAGGCGACUUACUGGACUAUUACUGACGCUGAGGUACGAAAGACGUGGGGAGGCAAAACA
rnacentral:rRNA from 1 species